rnacentral:lncRNA from 1 species
AAGUGUCCUACGCUUCCUUCUUUGCAAGCAUUUCUUGGUUGCUUUAAGCUUAACUUAAGAAUAAGAACAAAUAAACAAAAAAUGUUGGUAUACCAAAUUCAUCGUAACACACACUUAAAUCUCGCAAAAGAUUCAUGCAAUCAACAAAACAAUUUAACCAACCGAAUUUUAUGGUGAAACUAGAGCCACCAAAAGUACAAUCAUAAUUAAACAAAAACAAUAAUAAUAAAAAAAAACUCAAAAAAAAAGUCUACUACAGUUCAAAUAAACUCUUCAAUCUUCCUCAUCGUGGCCACCACCAACGGAUCCAAGGACAUCCUCCAUCUC